CAGGCCUAACACAUGCAAGUCGAGCGGAUGAGAGGGGCUUGCUCCUUGAUUUAGCGGCGGACGGGUGAGUAAUGCCUAGGAAUCUGCCUGGUGGUGGGGGAUAACGUUCCGAAAGGAACGCUAAUACCGCAUACGUUAUACGGGAGAAAGCGGGGGAUCUUCGGACCUCGCGCCAUUAGAUGAGCCUAGGUCGGAUUAGCUAGUUGGUGAGGUAACGGCUCACCAAGGCGACGAUCCGUAACUGGUCUGAGAGGAUGAUCAGUCACACUGGAACUGAGACACGGUCCAGACUCCUACGGGAGGCAGCAGUGGGGAAUAUUGGACAAUGGGCGAAAGCCUGAUCCAGCCAUGCCGCGUGUGUGAAGAAGGUCUUCGGAUUGUAAAGCACUUUAAGUUGGGAGGAAGGGUAUUCACCUAAUACGUGAGUAUUUUGACGUUACCGACAGAAUAAGCACCGGCUAACU
rnacentral:rRNA from 1 species